GUGUCAGCAGCCGCGGUAAAACGUAGGUGGCAAGCGUUAUCCGGAUUCACUGGGCGUAAAGCGAGUGCAGGUGGUUGUGUAAGUUGGAUGUGAAAUUUCCCAGCCUAACUGGGAAGGGUCAUUCAAUACUGCGCGACUUGAGGGCAGAAGAGGGGGGUGGAAUUGCCGGUGUAGUGGUGAAAUGCGUAGAUAUCGGCAGGAACACCUGUGGCGAAAGCGGCCCCCUGGUCUGAUCCUGACACUCAGACUCGAAAGCUAGGGUAGCGAACGGGAUUAGAUACCCCAGUAGUCC
rnacentral:rRNA from 1 species